UCCGCGAGUGCGACCAGGUUCCUCUCGCACAGUUCUCCUUCCCAAAAAAGCUCUCGCCCGAAGCCUCCCUUGCCCGUGCCCUCGUCCGCUUGCUCCCCCACCCGACUCCUCUCGCCUUUUGUAACCCUAGCCGCCGCCAGUUGACGCGAGGCCACUGCAGGGCGCGCCAUCUCUAGGCAUCGGGAGACUGCGGCGGACGGCACCGUUGUCAUGGCCGGCCUUGCCGGUGGAUGGCCCAUGCAGGGAUGGGGCACCGCCUCUCCCUCUCCUCGCCGAUGGCUACACUCGAUGACCCACCUGCUUCCGUCAUACACUAGGUGCUCAUGCCUUCAUCUCUGGCCUUCCGUCGGUAGCGAGCACCAAACAGGUACACCAGGUGGCACACCUUCUGUCGGUGCUCUGUUGCCAUGCCUAGCAAUGCCUAGCAGUUGAUAUGGUGUCCAUCCCAUAGCCUCCCACCACGCCAGGAUCAUCUGCAUUAGAGCAAGAAAGAAAAGGACUACCUGAUGGAUGUCCUAGACAGGUAGAAGUCCCUGAAUCACUUUUUGUCAAGGAGACCAGCCAGACUGACAACUCCGCUUGACUGUCACCAUGGAAAGUUGCAGCUCUUCUAUAGCUCUCUAUUAUAGAGUGUUUUCCCUCUUAAUUAAUUGGUACUUGCUGGCUGAUAGUCUUAAUUGAGCAUACACAAGCCUGCUAAAAUGAUUCGCUUUUGGGCCGUGGCUGGCUGCACAAGGGGUCACUUGGAAAAGGAAUGGACAUGACAGUGAGUAUUCCUUUCUCUUCUCUAUGUGAAAGAUGGUUACAGUGAAACAUUAGGACUUGGGAUGAUGUUUCUGAAGUCAUUUUGAGAUGUAAAAUCAAAUGAAAAUUCACUAAACUAAUCCAUAGACCAUAAUCAAAUUUGAAGAUAGCUAGCCAUGAGAUAUCAUAGCUAUUUCUGCCGAUUGGUCAGUAUGAGGUGUACUGAAGCCGCAUAAUAGAGUUCAUGACUAUCAUUGGUACUUCAUGACCAUCAAUUUGGUUUUAGUGUUGAAGUUUCUCUGUUUGAUUUCACCCAAGCAUGUUGGCACCAGGUAUUGCAUCAUGUGAAAAAGGUAAGUACCUAAUCAGCUAUUCAGUAUCUUCUUUAUUCAGUUGCAGAAGAUUGUGUUUUAUUAUGUCAGUCAUCUAGGUUUUUUUAGCUAAUGAAUAGUCAAGCAAUGAAUAGUCCUUAAUGAGUUAUGGCCAAUUCAUUUGCCAUUUGCAUUCACUGAUGGUGGGUGGUUGAAUCUAAUUACAGAAACUGAAGAUUGGUGCUGCUACUAUAGUCAAUUCAGUUAGGAACUCAUGAUAUAGGAUAGAGAUGUUGUUUAUUUAUCGGGUCUAACUAAAAAAAUAUUUAUGAUGUUUAAAAAAAACACAUUCUGGCUUGUGGUGAUGUUCACUUGCGUUUUAGAUUAACUUCAGUUUCAUGUCCUCGUCUACCACUGUUCUUGUUCGACAGUUUUAGAUUAAUAGUUUUUUUAUUCCAUUCAAGUUACUUCUUUCAUUCUUGCAUGCAUGUUUCUGUCUACCAUUAUUUAGUCAGGACACUUAAUAUAAUGGUUAUCAAUCUAUAAUACUACUUGCAUCACUGUGCAUUGCCAUUAGCCAUCACUCUAAAACAUGGGUGAUAUUGCUGGGACGAGGAUGCACAUAUUUUUUUUAUGAUAAUCCAGAUCUCUAUUAAUUUCAGUAUUAGAGUCAUCAACCAUCAUGAUAAAAUAUGGUCACUCGUGUCUUGUGUACACUACUUAAUUAGGGUUAGGCCGUGCAGCUCCCCUCUGGUUCUCCCCUUCAUUCUGUUCCUGUUAGCAAGUUUCCCCAAGAUUUCUGAAAACUAAUACUCCAGGUUGGUUGUGUGCUGAAUUUGGAGAAUAGAAAAAUAAAUUAUAUAAUGGGAAGUGCACCAAAGUUUGACUCGGCAUUUUUCAAUCAGUGUUUUAUAAGUUUCUAAAUCUUUCGCAGGCUGGUAAAAACAAUAUAUCACUGCAACUCUGCUUCUUAACGAAAUAGAAUGGAAGUGCACUCGAUGACAGCUUUUACUUGCUUCGACAAAGACAAAAGUGGUAAUAUCAUAAUCACAAUCAUCUCGAGGACAAGUUAGCUGGACACUACACUUCUUCUACUGCAGCUGAAGUAAAAAAUCGAGUUGUGUGUUGUCAAUCACGUUGUUGAUCAUCUGCAACGUUAAUAAUUUGUCAUUUAUAAUUUGGUCUUGAAUUACCAUAAAGUUUAGUUCCAUAUAAAAUUCUACUUGCAUAGUAUAGCAAUAUUAUUGCUUGUACUAUGAGACAUGUCUGCUGCCGAGUUGUCACCGUCAGGGACUGGUGGCUACACUUGCAAUAUUUGUA